rnacentral:lncRNA from 1 species
GGCAAUUUGACGUGGUAAGAAAGUUGUUGGGUUUGUGUUUUUGGUAAAGUGCAAGUUCAUGGUUUUGCCGGGAUACAUGUCCUUUUCCAUGAAAAAUAGAGCCACGUUUCGGUCAUCAUGAAGUUGAUUUUCGGUGGCAGCAUAAUUGUAGGCGAAUGGGUCUGGCCCUGGUUUUACUCCAACAUAUACAGGCUUUCCCUUGUGUCCAGUGUUAACAGUUACUCCACCUUUGCCAACACUUACAUUUGUUCUCUUCCCAGGCUUUCCAGUGUUAACACCAACGCCUCUACCUCCCACAUUAACAGUAGUACCCGGUUUUCCUUUCCCUGUGUUUACAUUUACUCCACCCUUCCCAACGUUUACAGAAGUGCCGCUGGGUUUUCCUUUUCCUGAAUUAACAUUUACUCCGCCCUUCCCUACAUUGACAGUAGUUCCUCCCGGCUUUCCCUUCCCUGCUUCAACAUUUACCCCUCCCUUCCCUACAAUGACGGAAGUGCCUUUUUGGUCCAUGAAGUCUGCGAUUAGCUACGUUAGUUAGAGGAGCUUAGAAAAGAGACUAGAUUCAUUUUUUCAGCUAGGAGAUUAAUCAACUUCUGUGUUGAUCAAGAUCUUUGAACUCUAUGAAAUGACACAAUUAUUGCUGUUGCUGUAAUCUUGUUGUGCUUGUAACUUGACAGACAUCAUCAUCUUUACAAACAUGUACAUACUUUAUGAAUAUUUAGAAAUUAAAGUGAUAUUCAGUGAGUUAAGUUGACAUCUUCAAGAGACCAAUCCAACGUCUCCAAAUGUUUAUUCUGUAUUGAUUAUGGACUGUGACGCAUACUUGAUAGGAGUUCUGUUUCUGAUGAAACCGAGUAAAGAAUAGUCUGAGAUCUUGAGUACUGACCUGGCUGUAGAAGAUCUUUGACAG